rnacentral:rRNA from 1 species
GGGUUGUGAGGUUAAGCGACUAAGCGUACACGGUGGAUGCCCUGGCAGUCAGAGGCGAUGAAGGACGUGCUAAUCUGCGAUAAGCGUCGGUAAGGUGAUAUGAACCGUUAUAACCGGCGAUUUCCGAAUGGGGAAACCCAGUGUGUUUCGACACACUAUCAUUAACUGAAUCCAUAGGUUAAUGAGGCGAACCGGGGGAACUGAAACAUCUAAGUACCCCGAGGAAAAGAAAUCAACCGAGAUUCCCCCAGUAGCGGCGAGCGAACGGGGAGGAGCCCAGAGCCUGAAUCAGUGUGUGUGUUAGUGGAAGCGUCUGGAAAGGCGCGCGAUACAGGGUGACAGCCCCGUACACAAAAAUGCACAUGCUGUGAGCUCGAUGAGUAGGGCGGGACACGUGGUAUCCUGUCUGAAUAUGGGGGGACCAUCCUCCAAGGCUAAAUACUCCUGACUGACCGAUAGUGAACCAGUACCGUGAGGGAAAGGCGAAAAGAACCCCGGCGAGGGGAGUGAAAAAGAACCUGAAACCGUGUACGUACAAGCAGUGGGAGCACAGAGCAAUCUGUGUGACUGCGUACCUUUUGUAUAAUGGGUCAGCGACUUAUAUUCUGUAGCAAGGUUAACCGAAUAGGGGAGCCGAAGGGAAACCGAGUCUUAACUGGGCGUUAAGUUGCAGGGUAUAGACCCGAAACCCGGUGAUCUAGCCAUGGGCAGGUUGAAGGUUGGGUAACACUAACUGGAGGACCGAACCGACUAAUGUUGAAAAAUUAGCGGAUGACUUGUGGCUGGGGGUGAAAGGCCAAUCAAACCGGGAGAUAGCUGGUUCUCCCCGAAAGCUAUUUAGGUAGCGCCUCGUGAAUUCAUCUCCGGGGGUAGAGCACUGUUUCGGCAAGGGGGUCAUCCCGACUUACCAACCCGAUGCAAACUGCGAAUACCGGAGAAUGUUAUCACGGGAGACACACGGCGGGUGCUAACGUCCGUCGUGAAGAGGGAAACAACCCAGACCGCCAGCUAAGGUCCCAAAGUCAUGGUUAAGUGGGAAACGAUGUGGGAAGGCCCAGACAGCCAGGAUGUUGGCUUAGAAGCAGCCAUCAUUUAAAGAAAGCGUAAUAGCUCACUGGUCGAGUCGGCCUGCGCGGAAGAUGUAACGGGGCUAAACCAUGCACCGAAGCUGCGGCAGCGACGCUUAUGCGUUGUUGGGUAGGGGAGCGUUCUGUAAGCCUGUGAAGGUGUGCUGUGAGGCAUGCUGGAGGUAUCAGAAGUGCGAAUGCUGACAUAAGUAACGAUAAAGCGGGUGAAAAGCCCGCUCGCCGGAAGACCAAGGGUUCCUGUCCAACGUUAAUCGGGGCAGGGUGAGUCGACCCCUAAGGCGAGGCCGAAAGGCGUAGUCGAUGGGAAACAGGUUAAUAUUCCUGUACUUGGUGUUACUGCGAAGGGGGGACGGAGAAGGCUAUGUUGGCCGGGCGACGGUUGUCCCGGUUUAAGCGUGUAGGCUGGUUUUCCAGGCAAAUCCGGAAAAUCAAGGCUGAGGCGUGAUGACGAGGCACUACGGUGCUGAAGCAACAAAUGCCCUGCUUCCAGGAAAAGCCUCUAAGCAUCAGGUAACAUCAAAUCGUACCCCAAACCGACACAGGUGGUCAGGUAGAGAAUACCAAGGCGCUUGAGAGAACUCGGGUGAAGGAACUAGGCAAAAUGGUGCCGUAACUUCGGGAGAAGGCACGCUGAUAUGUAGGUGAAGUCCCUCGCGGAUGGAGCUGAAAUCAGUCGAAGAUACCAGCUGGCUGCAACUGUUUAUUAAAAACACAGCACUGUGCAAACACGAAAGUGGACGUAUACGGUGUGACGCCUGCCCGGUGCCGGAAGGUUAAUUGAUGGGGUUAGCGCAAGCGAAGCUCUUGAUCGAAGCCCCGGUAAACGGCGGCCGUAACUAUAACGGUCCUAAGGUAGCGAAAUUCCUUGUCGGGUAAGUUCCGACCUGCACGAAUGGCGUAAUGAUGGCCAGGCUGUCUCCACCCGAGACUCAGUGAAAUUGAACUCGCUGUGAAGAUGCAGUGUACCCGCGGCAAGACGGAAAGACCCCGUGAACCUUUACUAUAGCUUGACACUGAACAUUGAGCCUUGAUGUGUAGGAUAGGUGGGAGGCUUUGAAGUGUGGACGCCAGUCUGCAUGGAGCCGACCUUGAAAUACCACCCUUUAAUGUUUGAUGUUCUAACGUUGACCCGUGAUCCGGGUUGCGGACAGUGUCUGGUGGGUAGUUUGACUGGGGCGGUCUCCUCCUAAAGAGUAACGGAGGAGCACGAAGGUUGGCUAAUCCUGGUCGGACAUCAGGAGGUUAGUGCAAUGGCAUAAGCCAGCUUGACUGCGAGCGUGACGGCGCGAGCAGGUGCGAAAGCAGGUCAUAGUGAUCCGGUGGUUCUGAAUGGAAGGGCCAUCGCUCAACGGAUAAAAGGUACUCCGGGGAUAACAGGCUGAUACCGCCCAAGAGUUCAUAUCGACGGCGGUGUUUGGCACCUCGAUGUCGGCUCAUCACAUCCUGGGGCUGAAGUAGGUCCCAAGGGUAUGGCUGUUCGCCAUUUAAAGUGGUACGCGAGCUGGGUUUAGAACGUCGUGAGACAGUUCGGUCCCUAUCUGCCGUGGGCGCUGGAGAAUUGAGGGGGGCUGCUCCUAGUACGAGAGGACCGGAGUGGACGCAUCACUGGUGUUCGGGUUGUCAUGCCAAUGGCACUGCCCGGUAGCUAAAUGCGGAAGAGAUAAGUGCUGAAAGCAUCUAAGCACGAAACUUGCCCCGAGAUGAGUUCUCCCUGACUCCUUGAGAGUCCUGAAGGAACGUUGAAGACGACGACGUUGAUAGGCCGGGUGUGUAAGCGCAGCGAUGCGUUGAGCUAACCGGUACUAAUGAACCGUGAGGCUUAACCUUACAACGCCGAAGGUGUUU